CCUACGGGUGGCAGCAGUGGGGAAUAUUGGACAAUGGGCGAAAGCCUGAUCCAGCCAUGCCGCGUGUGUGAAGAAGGCCUUCGGGUUGUAAAGCACUUUCAGUGGGGAAGAAAGCCUUGGGGCUAAUACCCUCGAGGAAGGACAUCACCCACAGAAGAAGCACCGGCUAACUCCGUGCCAGCAGCCGCGGUAAUACGGAGGGUGCGAGCGUUAAUCGGAAUUACUGGGCGUAAAGCGCGCGUAGGCGGUCUGAUAAGCCGGUUGUGAAAGCCCCGGGCUCAACCUGGGAACGGCAUCCGGAACUGUCAGGCUAGAGUGCAGGAGAGGAAGGUAGAAUUCCCGGUGUAGCGGUGAAAUGCGUAGAGAUCGGGAGGAAUACCAGUGGCGAAGGCGGCCUUCAGGACUGACACUGACGCUGAGGUGCGAAAGCGUGGGUAGCAAACAGGAUUAGAUACCCCGGUAGUC
rnacentral:rRNA from 1 species